GACGAACGCUGGCGGCGUGCCUAAUACAUGCAAGUAGAACGCUGAAGGAGGAGCUUGCUUCUCGGGAUGAGUUGCGAACGGGUGAGUAACGCGUAGGUAACCUGCCUGGUAGCGGGGGAUAACUAUUGGAAACGAUAGCUAAUACCGCAUAAGAGUAGAUGUUGCAUGACAUUUGCUUAAAAGGUGCAAUUGCAUCACUACCAGAUGGACCUGCGUUGUAUUAGCUAGUUGGUGAGGUAACGGCUCACCAAGGCGACGAUACAUAGCCGACCUGAGAGGGUGAUCGGCCACACUGGGACUGAGACACGGCCCAGACUCCUACGGGAGGCAGCAGUAGGGAAUCUUCGGCAAUGGACGGAAGUCUGAACAAGCAACGCCGCGUGAGUGAAGAAGGUUUUCGGAUCGUAAAGCUCUGUUGUAAGAGAAGAACGAGUGUGAGAGUGGAAAGUUCACACUGUGACGGUAUCUUACCAGAAAGGGACGGCUAACUACGUG
rnacentral:rRNA from 1 species